rnacentral:lncRNA from 1 species
UACCCUCCUAUCCACUGCCUCCCCCUCCGGGAUCGGCAGAGCUAGGACGCGCUCAGCAAGGUGCUCCCCGAAUACCUGUCGAACAAGACUGGCGUCUCACCUCCGCUCCCCCUGGGCAAAUAAGGCACACACUCUACGUCCCUCCAUCCAUCCGUGGUCAAUCUCGGUGGGCCACCCCUGUAGUGCUACCUCAUCCAACCAUCUGUCCUCCAAAAUGCAGAUCGACCGCCCA